rnacentral:misc_RNA from 1 species
AACUGAUACUACCUGCGGGAACCUGCGGAGGGAUCAUUAACACAAAAAAAAUGAUAACCCUUUUUUGAUUGCUAGAAAGGAGGAAACUCUUAUCUACAAUCAAAUUACCACAAUGGAAAAUGUUAAAGUCUACCAACAUUAUUAUCAAUGUUGAUAGUUCUUUAUACAAUUACCACAAACCACAUUUAAAAAAACCAUUAGAUUCUGUUAUGAUUAUAUCUUAAAAACAUAUAAUCUUAA